rnacentral:rRNA from 1 species
GACGAACGCUGGCGGCGUGCUUAACACAUGCAAGUCGAACGGAGUCGCGAACGGUUCAGUAACAUGUCGGUGCCCUGCCUCUCACUUCGCGAUAAGCUCGGGAUACUUGGUCCAAUACCUGAUAGGGCAAGAUGUGCUCCCGGCCUAUCAGCUUGUUGGGUGGGUAAUGGCCUACCAAGGGGUCGCAGGGUAGCCGGCCUGAGAGGGGGUACAGCCACAUUGGGACUGAGAUACGGCCCAGACUCCUACGGGAGGCAGCAGUGGGGAAUAUUGCACAAUGGGCGGAAGCCUGAGGCGGCGACGCCGCGUGGGGGAUGAAGGCCUUCGGGUUGUAAACUGCUUUCGGCAAGGACGCGGUAGCUGCAGAAGAAGCACCGGCUAACUACGUGCCAGCCGCCGCGGUAAUUC